rnacentral:pre_miRNA from 1 species
UAUAUGUAUGCCAUUUUCCGCGAUUGCCUUGAUUUGUUAAAAGAAAAUGAUUCACAACAAAAUAUUAAGGCACGCGGUGAAUGUCAUCCACGGUGC